AUUGAACGCUGGCGGCAUGCCUUACACAUGCAAGUCGAACGGCAGCGUGGAGAGCUUGCUCUCUGAUGGCGAGUGGCGAACGGGUGAGUAAAGCAUCGGAACGUACCGUGUAGUGGGGGAUAACGUAGCGAAAGUUACGCUAAUACCGCAUACGCACUGAGGUGGAAAGCAGGGGAUCGUAAGACCUUGCGCUAUACGAGCGGCCGAUGUCAGAUUAGCUAGUUGGUAGGGUAAAGGCCUACCAAGGCGACGAUCUGUAGCGGGUCUGAGAGGAUGAUCCGCCACACUGGGACUGAGACACGGCCCAGACUCCUACGAGAGGAAGCAGUGGGGAAUUUUGGACAAUGGGGGCAACCCUGAUCCAGCCCUGCCGUGUGAGUGAAGAAGGCCUUCGGGUUGUAAAUCUCUUUCGGCCGGGAAGAAAUCGCACAGGCUAAUACCCUGUGUGGAUGACGGUACCGGCAUAAGGAGCACCGGCUAACUACGUGCCAGCCGCCGCGGUAA
rnacentral:rRNA from 1 species